AUCUGUCAUGUCUGUUUUGUGAUGUUCCUGGGAGUAAGAGGAUAGGCUCUGAAUGGAGGAUGAAAUCUCCUCCUGAGAUGGAGAGCAAUAGGAGGAGAGACUAUUUCAUUGCAUAGGUAAUACCAUGCAUCAGCAAAGAUUAAAGACCCCUUCCUUUAAAGCUUUCGGUGCUGUCGGGCUACUUGAGUCAAUUCGUUUGUAUGCUCACUUGAUACACAAGUUCAAAUCCUGGCUAAGGUCGCAAGUUUGUUGAUCUCUUCUUAAUUCUGUCACAAGGGCCAAGAGAAAUCUGCGGAUUCGAUUUCUGACUUUCAGUCAAAUUUCAUUAAAUGAAAUGCAUGCUGUGUAGAAAUGUGCUUAUGUAGCCAGAAAAGGGACCAAGUGGAAAUGACACCCUCUUAAGCAAUGGAUCAGCUCCCUGUAGAGAUGCUACCUGACCUGAUCUGAAACUUGCUUGUUUUAUGCUUCUGAUAACUCAAGUGUUGAAACCCAACAUAGUUUCCUCCACUACUCACUCUUACCUGAUGAUGGGCAUUGCAGGGCGCUUUACAUUUCAAUAAAGAUACCUGCCCUCUAAGAGCAACUGUAAAAAGACAAGUUUGACUUUUGCGAAAGAGAGAACUUCAAAGUUCUUCCUCACGCCUGCUGUCGGAAAUGCAUCAGAAUACAAAAGAGAGGCUAAUUGACAGGUCUAUGGAGGCUGAAGGAAAACCUGGCUGUUGUGAAAGAGAGCAGGAUAAAUUGCAUAUUUUCCACAGAGCUACAAAAGUGUCUCUUCAAGACAUAACAUAUACUGUGUUGUGGAUCUUUAAAUAAGGUAAAGAAACAAUACAGGCCCUAAUGAAUCCCUACCCCCAAACUCCUGACUUUAGA
rnacentral:lncRNA from 1 species